GCCGGAAGUAGCGGAUGCGGUGCUGGGGCACGGCCAGCACCCCGGGGCCGAGCGCAGCCAGCUCUUCGUCCCAGCAGAAGGCGGUGAAGGGCUCCUCCUGCACGCCGCGGAAGCGGUCCAGGUAGCCCACGGAGAAGUCGGCGGGGUCCAGGUGAGGGUCCCAGCGGAUGCGGUCGAUCACAGCCUGGGCGGUCUUCAUGGACGGCUUCUUGCCCUCGGGCCCCGACGGCGGCCCCGGCGGAGGCUCAGCCCGGGCUCCGGGGUGGGGGAGCCGGCAGCGGGCCCCGAAGCGGCAGCGCCCCUCCAAGUAGAACCGGCAGAUGGGCGCCGGGGCCCCCGCCCCCGCCCCCGCCUCCGCCAUGCUGCAGUCCCGGGGCUCCGGCCGCCGCGCCCCGGGCAAAGGUCUCGCUGCUGGGACCGGUGACCGGUCCGCUCUUCCGGCCUCGCUGGCCACGCCCCUUCGAAGGCUGGGGUGAGGCUCUUAAAGGGACUCGCUCUUCGGAGGCCGGCGCCUGCGGUUCCAGCCCGGCUCUGUUCCUUUUCUCCCCCCCGCCCAGGGAGAUUAUCUAUCGUGCCCCCGUAAGGGUGGGGAUGUGGCUCAGAGAAGAGCGGGUCGUAAAGCCCUCCCUGUGGCAACACCAGAGGUUGUUACUAUUGCCACGGGCCUGGAAAGGACCUAAAAGAGAAACUGAGGCCCAGAAGGGCGCCCAGUUGCGAUUCAAACACAAGCGUCCUGGCUCCCCCCCCCGACUAACUCGGGGCUGAGGAGUACGAGCACGGGCUGAGCCCACGUCCCAUGUCCCUGCCACAAACACUCUAGCCCAAGCAGCUGAAAUAAAUGGUUGAUAUGUCUUUAUAUAUAAAGAUUUUUUUUGGGGGGGGGGAUUGGCUAGGCAUGGAGGGGGGGGGAGGAGGGAGAGGAAGAAGGGUGCUAUACAGGGGGCUUCGCAUAAAAACUUCUGGUAUAAGGCAAGGCCAAGUCAGGCCCCUGGCCUGGGUCCCGGGCGACACG
rnacentral:lncRNA from 1 species